AACGAACGCUGGCGGCAGGCCUAACACAUGCAAGUCGAACGCUCGUAGCAAUACGAGAGUGGCAGACGGGUGAGUAACACGUGGAACCUUCCCUAUGGUUCGGAAUAGCCCAGGGAAACUUGGGGUAAUACCGGAUAAGCCCUUACGGGGAAAGAUUCAUCGCCAUUGGAUGGGCCCGCGUCGGAUUAGCUAGUUGGUGGGGUAACGGCUCACCAAGGCGACGAUCCGUAGCUGGUCUGAGAGGAUGAUCAGCCACACUGGGACUGAGACACGGCCCAGACUCCUACGGGAGGCAGCAGUGGGGAAUAUUGGACAAUGGGCGCAAGCCUGAUCCAGCCAUGCCGCGUGAGUGACGAAGGCCUUUGGGUUGUAAAGCUCUUUUGGCGGGGAAGAUAAUGACGGUACCCGCAGAAUAAGCUCCGGCUAACUUCGUGCCAGCCGCCGCGGUAA
rnacentral:rRNA from 1 species